rnacentral:lncRNA from 1 species
UUGCCAAAAUCAUAUAAAAUAAUUGUAAUCUCCUUAAAGAUACAACAAAAGAAACAUUUUUCUCCAAGGACCUAGUCUAGACAGAUACAAGAUCUUCUAAGUAAAGAAAAUAAUAACACAAGACCCAAAUUCUUCCAUGGAAAUGAAAGGAUAAAAGCUAUUAGAGAUUCUUAACCAUGCCAUGUAAGAAUCAUCAACUAAUCCCGGAACCAAACUAUACCCCCAAGAGGGUAUAGCAAGAGUAGUAUCAAUACAACCAUACAUACUAGUAGGCAUCGUUGAUCGAGUAUGUUUAGAUCACAUAAACAUAAUAUAGGAAGCCAGAAUCAAACAUGAAUAUAUGAACAACCAAUUAAACUUCUUCUCUCUGAUAAAUCAUGCUAAACUCUUUUAUAAUAAUAUUAUCAUUCUUUGAUCUAUG